ensembl:lncRNA
GUGAAAUCAAAUGGCUCCCCUCCAGCCUUUCUCUUCUGUGUACAUUCUGGAGUCAUCACUGUGUUACAGCCACGGUUCCUCUGACUUCAACACUCAUCUCGCCCUCCUGUUAUGAAAGUAAACAACCAAUGUGUGUUAAUGCCCUCUCUGUGCUGGAAUGCUGGUGCUCAGGGGUGGUUCCCCAGACCAGCAGCAUCAGCAGUGGCUGAGUACUUCUGUUAGAAAUGCCAAUCAGAAACUCCGGGGGCGGAAUCCAGCCAUCUGUGUUUCAACAAGCCCAGGAGAUUCCCACAAGGAGCAUUUCCUGGAAGCAGAACUUGUCUCUCACUGAAACAGGACGUGACUAUGAGGCGUGUUCCAAUUUCAGCUGUUGGCGCCCCGGCUGCCAGGAGGAAGCCACAGCCCCAGCCCCAUCCUUGGUGGAGAGUGCCGGAGAGCGUGGCCGCUUCCUGAGGCCGGCAGAGCAUUCCAGUCUUCCUCACGCAGUCUUAGCCGUCAGACUGGGGACUAACCCUACUUGGAGUCGAUAUUCCUGCAAGAAACCUUCACUUAGGAAGUUUGAUCUUUGCCACAUCACAGAGACGGGGAGAGAGUAGGCCUUAGUUUUCACCUGUGGCUUAAUAUUAAUAUGUAAAUAUAUGAAAGAGAAAGCAGAAAUUGAGUGGACCCAGCCACCUGAGACCUUGGGGUCUUUAUUUAUUCCAGUAUUAAUUGUUUUUAUGAGAGGAUUAUUCAGCUGCACACACUGAAAGGACAGAGGACAGAAGGCUCCAUUUACCUAGGCUCCAUAUAAUCAAAAUGCAAGGAGUUUUAGCAUUUUUCUAACACCGAAAGAAACCUUGGCUAAGGUAUUUUAAAGCAAAAAUUAGCAACAUUGCUUGAAUCUUAGAUUAGAUAGAAGGAUUUAACGCCCCUGAAAGAACUCUCAGGCAUUUAUCCAGUGGUCUGUGGGUAAACCUCCAGUCAGCUUUUUGAGGGGAAAUUGGGAAGUAGAAGUGAAUUGCUGUUUUUUAAAACUCCCUCAUAUUCCAUAAUCCACAAUUCCAUUUUCCUGGGGUGCUUUGUAGAAUAUGUCUUAUCCUGCUCUAAAGGGUGUCUUUCACUGUUAAAAGUUGAGUGUUUCCUUGGUGACUAGAGUGGCACUUUUUCUCGUGAGCCUGUCUCCUCGUAGGACCUUGGUGACAGGGGUUGGUGAAUGGUUGUCUUUCUUGGAUUAUCUUAUUGCUGGUAUAGUUCAGAAUCGUGGAACUGUUUAUAACUAAAAGAGACUUUCAGGGAUGACAGUCUGAAUUCUUUUAUUUUCAAACAAGAAAACCAAGUCCAGAAAGUUUGUGUGACUUGCCCAAGGUCACAGAGUCUUGCCCAAGGUCACAGGAAGGCAGCUGUGACAAGAAUUCAAGCUUCUCCACUCUCAGUCAAGGACUGAGGACAUCACCCUAUUGCUUUGCUAGUUCUUUUGGUUUUUAAUACCUGAAAUUCUUUACCCUCUCGGGACUUGCCGGAGCGUUUGGCCAACCUGGUACAGAUAACAGGCUUUUUCUCAAGCAAUGAGGUUUUGAUCCUAUCAGAGAACACCCAGACGGGGAGCGAGCUCUCUGCUCCCAGGGGUGGACACAGAUUAGAUAGACAUUUGGAAGGCUGGACGCCCGGAAGGAAAGGUGACACAUUACAGGGUUCGGGCUGCCCUUAUUACUAAGCAUUCUGAUGGCGUUCUGAUUCCUGAUGGCAUCCUGCAGGAGAGAGAGAGAGCUCUUUCCUAUUGACUCUGAUUUGUCUCCACAG